rnacentral:rRNA from 1 species
GACGAACCGUGCGACCGUUGUUCGGAAUCACUGGGCUUAAAGGGCGCGUAGGCGGGCGACCAAGUCAGGGGUGAAAUCCCCGGGCUCAACCCGGGAACUGCGUCCGAUACUGGAAGGCUUGAAUCCGGGAGAGGGAUGCGGAAUUCCAGGUGUAGCGGUGAAAUGCGUAGAUAUCUGGAGGAACACCGGUGGCGAAGGCGGCAUCCUGGACCGGCAUUGACGCUGAGGCGCGAAAGCCAGGGGAGCAAACGGG